UACGAAGGUCCCGAGCGUUGUUCGGAAUCACUGGGCGUAAAGGGAGCGUAGGCGGGCGCGGUAAGUCAGAUGUGAAAUCCCGGGGCUCAACCCCGGAACUGCAUCCGAUACUGCCGUGCUAGAGGAUUGGAGAGGUAGCUGGAAUUCUUGGUGGUAGCAGUGAAAUGCGUGGAGAUCAAGAGGAACACUCGUGGCGAAAGCGAGCUACUGGACAAUAUCUGACGCUGAGGCUCGAAGGCCAGGGUAGCGAAAGGG
rnacentral:rRNA from 1 species